UGGGGAAUAUUGCACAAUGGGGGAAACCCUGAUGCAGCAACGCCGCGUGAAUGAUGACGGCCUUCGGGUUGUAAAGUUCUUUGAUUGGGGACGAAAAUGACGGUACCCAAAAAACAAGCCACGGCUAACUACGUGCCAGCAGCCGCGGUAAUACGUAGGUGGCGAGCGUUGUCCGGAUUUACUGGGCGUAAAGGAUGCGUAGGUGGUAACUUAAGUGGGAUGUGAAAUCCCCGGGCUCAACCCGGGAACUGCAGUCCAAACUGAGUAACUAGAGUGCAGGAGAGGAAAGCGGAAUUCCUAGUGUAGCGGUGAAAUGCGUAGAUAUUAGGAGGAACACCAGUGGCGAAGGCGGCUUUCUGGACUGUAACUGACACUGAGGCAUGAAAGCGUGGGGAGCAAACA
rnacentral:rRNA from 1 species